AAAUAAAAGAAAAGAAAAGAAAAAAAAUCUCUCACACAGAUCAUCUUCUCCCCCAAACCCCCAAACCCUUCUCAACCCUCAAACAUAACCCUUCCCACUCGACCAUGGCGAACUCUCACCAUGGCAAGCUCUCUCCCGUGAUCUCCCAUGGCGAGCUCUCACCAUGUCCUUCCUGCGGCAUUCUCUCUCAUCUCGUGUCGAUCUCCUCUCCGCAAAACAUCUUCGCCUAGGUCGAUCUCUGCAGAGGGGAGAAGGUGAACUCCAUUUUGAAAUUGAUCCAAAGCUUGAUUUCCUUUUUCCUGCUAGAUCUCGCCCUACACACCUUCGCCUCUAUUGGGAUCGCCAUUUCCAUCUACGUCUAAGCAAGAAUAGUGCUGCAAGACUUCUUCUAGGCUUUCAUGCGUGUAUAGGAAGCGGAAGUGAAAGGUUACUGCCUGAAUGGUACUCUGAAAAAGGUUCAUUCAACGAAGAAAGCAAAAAUUGUUUUACUUUGCUCGAGACCGAAACACAAACCUGCGAGGCUAGGUCUAUAACGUGCUGCACUUUUCUCCUGCUGAUUCCAGCCGGCAAAAGAGGAAGAUGAAAACCGCUCUCGUUUUUCUACUUCCAUGUGCAAUUAUAUUUUCACGUUCGUUCGAAUCCUAAGUUUGGAAGGGUUACUGCUACAGAUGUUUUGGCUGUAGAAUGGAUUCAAAGUGGAGUUGUCCACUAUGGUGCAACUGUCUCAUACUUUGGCUUUUUUAGCGAUGGUAACGAGUUCUUACUCCAGGAGUUGUAGCUAAAAGUUCAAGUAUAUAUUCGUGGAGUCGAUCAGAAUUUGUUUAUGCACUUUUUGAUUUUGUUAUCAUACAAUUUUUGAUUUUUUGUAUUUCUUUCAAUUAGAGAGUUUGAUUUGUUAUAAUUACUACAACGUAUGAGUGGAUAUUAUUGUUGUGACGUAUGGAUAUUUGAUUUUAGUUUUAUCUUUUUAACAAGAAUUUAAGAAAUUUUGUUGAUU